GAAGCAAGCAAAUAACCUGAUCACAAACUUUGCAGCCCUCGCACAAGAGUACAGCCAAUUCAAUGUCGAUGUUGGAUCCUUCGCCCGUGUUGACCUAGAGGAUUACCCAAAGCAAGAUAACCUAUGUGAUUGUGGCUUUUUCGGGCUCAAAUAUGUGGAGAACUUUGAUGGGAAGUCAAUGAAAG